AGCCCCAAUCGGGCGGUAA
rnacentral:snRNA from 1 species